GUGGGGAAUCUUAGACAAUGGGGGAAACCCUGAUCUAGCCAUGCCGCGUGAGCGAUGAAGGCCUUAGGGUUGUAAAGCUCUUUCAGCUGGGAAGAUAAUGACGGUACCAGCAGAAGAAGCCCCGGCUAACUCCGUGCCAGCAGCCGCGGUAAUACGGAGGGGGCUAGCGUUGUUCGGAAUUACUGGGCGUAAAGCGCGCGUAGGCGGACCAGAAAGUUGGAGGUGAAAUCCCAGGGCUCAACCUUGGAACUGCCUUCAAAACUCCUGGUCUGGAGUUCGAGAGAGGUGAGUGGAAUUCCGAGUGUAGAGGUGAAAUUCGUAGAUAUUCGGAGGAACACCAGUGGCGAAGGCGGCUCACUGGCUCGAUACUGACGCUGAGGCGCGAAAGCGUGGGGAGCAAACAGGAUUAGAAACCCUGGUAGUCC
rnacentral:rRNA from 1 species